rnacentral:tRNA from 1 species
UGACCGGUAGCUCAGGUGGCAGAGCGGCUGCCUUACAAGCAGCGGGUCGCAGGUUCGAGCCCUGUCCGGUCAACGA